rnacentral:rRNA from 1 species
GAUGAACGCUGGCGGCGUGCCUAAUACAUGCAAGUCGAGCGGACAGAUGAGGAGCUUGUUCCUUUGACGAUAGCGGCGGACGGGUGAGUAACACGUGUAUCACCUACCUAUCAGACUGGUAUCACCUCGGGACAGCGGCGCUAACACCGGAUAAUCUACUGCACCGCAUGGUUCAAUAGUGAAAUACGGUGUUGCUGUCACGUAUAGAUGGAUCCCAGCCGCAUUGGCUAGUUGGUCAGGUAACGGCUUACCAAGGCAAGGCUGCGUAGGCGACCUGAGAGGGGGGUCGGCCACACUGGAGGGGAGACAGGCUCCAGGGUCCUGAGGUAGGGAGCAGUAGGGAAUGUUACGCAAUGGGCGGAAGCCUGACGGAGCGGCGCCGCGUGAGUGAUGAAGGUCUUGGGAUCGUAAAGCUCUGUUAUUGGGGAAAAACAAAUGUGUAAGGAGCUGUGCACGUAUUGACGGUACCUGGUCAGAAAGCCACGGCUAACUACGUG